rnacentral:rRNA from 1 species
GAGCGAACGCUGGCGGCAGGCUUACCACAUGCAAGUCGAGCGGGCAUCUUCGGAUGUCAGCGGCAGACGGGUGAGUAACACGUGGGAACGUACCCUUCGGUUCGGAACAACUCUGGGAAACUGGAGCUAAUACCGGAUACGCCCUUAUGGGGAAAGGUUUACUGCCGAAGGAUCGGCCCGCGUCUGAUUAGCUAGUUGGUGGGGUAACGGCCUACCAAGGCGACGAUCAGUAGCUGGUCUGAGAGGAUGAUCAGCCACACUGGGACUGAGACACGGCCCAGACUCCUACGGGAGGCAGCAGUGGGGAAUAUUGGACAAUGGGCGCAAGCCUGAUCCAGCCAUGCCGCGUGAGUGAUGAAGGCCUUAGGGUUGUAAAGCUCUUUUGUCCGGGACGAUAAUGACGGUACCGGAAGAAUAAGCCCCGGCUAACUUCGUG